GCAAUACGAAAAUCAGGGUCCUACAACGUAUAUAUGUACUUUUUAUGUUUAGCACACUGCACAUUAUUUUUAAACAUUUUUGUUCAUAUAUGUAAAAUUCAUGGAUUCUAUACGUAUUUUAACAUAAUCUCCCUCAAUAUUACCUAGAAGCUCAUUUAAUAAGCCCAGUUUGAACCAAAUUAGUUAAUUUUUAUGUUUUGAGUUCAAAAAGUAAUUAAACAAAUCACAAAUUGCUUAUAUAAAGAGUAUUGUUGGACCCAGAAAAGAAUAAGUUAACAUUUCGUUUUCAAUUUUUUGUUUUUAGUUUUCUAAGUUUUAUUUUUUGAAAACUAAAACUAGUUAAAGUUUUCAGCUUUCAUAAAAUAAAAACAGAAAUAAAAUGUGAAAAUUCAAGUCCCAACUAUUGAGUAUAUCUGAUUGCAUAGACUUUUAUUUAUUUUUAUUUGUAGAGAGGAAACAUGGGGAUUUCAAACUUGAUUGCGUAGAAAUACUUGGGAAUAAGUGAAAAAUCAACUCUAACCAACCAUGUUCCCUCAUGCACUAAAAUAGAAAACCUCUAGGAUCCCUCUCUCUCAGUAUGAGCCAGUCACAAUAAUUUGGUUAGAAUUUGUCUUUGACGAGAAUCAAAUUUAAGACUUCUCAAUUAUAAUUGAAGAAUAAUAAUUUUGAAAUAUGAGAGAGGUUGGAGAAGAGCAUAUGAGCAUUAGUUAAUAAUGGGUGAAGUAUGUUUUUCUCUCCCAUUGUGAGAGUCUCUCUCCUUCCUUGUGAGAGAUUUUCUAGCCUG
rnacentral:lncRNA from 1 species